rfam:Lupinus angustifolius cultivar Tanjil contig_18101, whole genome shotgun sequence.
GUUUUACACUUGAUCUCUGAACUUCAGGUAAGUUCCUAUGUUGACAAGUUCAUUCACUGAUGCU